UAAAGGGAGGCAUAUAAAAGUGCAAAACUCCCUAUUUGUUUAAACUUGAAACGAUAAAGAUCAGAAGGCCUGAGUCCUGAGUCCUGAGUCACUCUGCUCAGUAGCAGUUGUCAUCUUGAUUUCUACUUCCAUUCCCACAAAAUGCGAGUCCUUGUCUUGCUCAUGCUCUUCCUCCACUCCCUCCACGCAGCGCGAAUCUCAGAAUACCGCGCGCUUCUCUCUUUCAAAGCAUCUUCCAUAACCAACGACCCCACCCAUGCUCUCUCCUCCUGGAACUCCUCCACCCCCUUCUGCUCCUGGUUCGGCGUCACGUGCGACUCUCGCCGCCACGUGACCGGCCUCAACCUAACUUCCUUAUCUCUCUCCGCCACUCUCUAUGACCACCUCUCCCACCUCCCCUUCCUCUCCC
rnacentral:lncRNA from 1 species